rnacentral:lncRNA from 1 species
UGGAGAUCAUAGCUCACUGCAACCUCAAACUCCUGACACAAGCAAUCCUUCUGCCUCAGCCUCCCAAGCAACUGUGACUACAGGUGGUUCCUAACUUCCUGGCAACAACCACAAUUGUAAUUCGUUCAAAGAGAUUGACUGCUGUGGAGACAGAUCAUCACCAUCACCAUCACCAUCACCAUCACCACCACCACCAUCAUCAUCAUUGUCAUCGUCAUCAUUAUGUUGCUUUUAGCUCACUGGAGCCUCACAGAACCCUGUGAGGGCAUGGACAGAUCUUCCUCAGAGGAGGCCUCAGCAAGUGUCAGCCACACGAAUGAGUGUAUGGAGCAAAGGAGGAGUGAACGUCUAGGAGACCAGCCGUUACCCCAACUCCUCCCCAUCCGCUCCUACUCUGGACUCCAAUCUAUGCCCUACCCCAGCUCUUGGAUUUGGCCUUUGGAUCAGGUUCUUCUGGUAAUGAAGCCUCACCUUUCCCCCAACUAACUCUGAUCUGGCCUACCCUGCUCCUGACUAACCUCAAGGAUCCUGAGUCUCCUUCAGCCUAACAGCUCCAGAAGCUGAACUCCAGCCCUAAGAGCCCCAGCUGCAGACAGGCCUCUGGCCAAGAGCUUAGUCAGGCUACCCUGACUAAGCCACAGGGUUGGCAUGCCCUCUGGGCAGCCCCUGAACCGGGCUCUGAAAACACAGGAAUGGACAAGGUAAUCUACCCGAGUCCUGAGCCUGCAAGGUAGUUGAGACAGAUCUUGAAGGAGAGUGGGCACAGUCAGAAAGGAAAAAGUGGCUCAGUGUAAAAUAAAACUGACACAAGCCCAUGUACCAGCAGCCAAUUGGAUCUUUUUUUUUUUUUUUUUUUUGAGAUGGGGCUUCUCUUAUUGCCCAGGCUGGUCUUGAACUUCUGAGCUCAAGCGAUCCUCCCACCUUGGCCUACCAAAGUGCUGGGAUUACAGGCGUGAACCACCAAUUGGAUCUUUACUGGACCCCUACAGGGCACUGAGCUAGGGAAUGUUGGAGAUUCAGAGGCUGAAUCAGAUAGCAGCCCAACCCUGAGAUACAACUGAGCUACAGGCAAGAGGAUACUACCGGGCGCAGUGGCUCACACCUGUAAUCCCAGCACUUUGGGAGGCCGAGGCGGGUGGAUCAUGUGAGGCCAGGAGUUCGAGAAUACCCUGGCCAACAUGGUGAAACCCCAUCUCUAUUAAAAAUACAAAAAUUAGCUGGGGUUGGUGGCACAUGCCUGUAAACCUAGCUACUUGAGAGGCUGAGACACGAG